CAAGAUAUUAGUCAAUGCUCGAAAGAGUGAACAAGCUUACUGAAAUCUAUCCAAUAGAAAAUUUAAAAUAAAUGAUGAUAUUUUUAGAUUUUGAGUGCCGUCUAAACCUGGUGCCAGAAGACUCGGUAAGGCCAGAGGCGCUAAAUUUGCCUACAUUAACAGGCUUAAAGAGUACGCAGACAGACCUUAUGAAUAAAUUUUUUAUUCGAAUGAAGGUAUAGAAUCUAAAAUUAGGAGAAUAUAACGUUUAGUGUAGUGUCGACAUACUGAGAUACUAAAUUGAAUACUAAGGGCGAAAGGCAAUUUUCCAAUAAAGAUCUACGUUGAGGUACGAGGGUGGAGAUAGAAAAAAGAAUUAGAGACUCUUGUAUCCUCCACUGUAAACGAUGAGUGGUUGUUUCGAUUUUAGGAUCGUUUCAAAGCAAAAGCGUUAACCACUCCGCCUUGCGAGUACAGUUGCAAAGCUGAAAUCAAAAAAAUAGGUCGUUUUGAGCAAACGGAGUGACGCAUGUAUUAAUUCGAUAAA
rnacentral:rRNA from 1 species